rnacentral:rRNA from 1 species
GGUAACCUACCUAUAAGACGUGGGAUAACCGUACCGGGAAACCGGGGCUAAUACCGGAUAAUACAUGAAACCGCAUGGUUUCAUGAUGAAAGACGGUUUUGCUGUCACUUAUAGAUGGACCCGCGGCGUAUUAGCUAGUUGGUAAGGUAACGGCUUACCAAGGCAACGAUACGUAGCCGACCUGAGAGGGUGAUCGGCCACACUGGAACUGAGACACGGUCCAGACUCCUACGGGAGGCAGCAGGC